UACGUAGGGGGCUAGCGUUGUCCGGAUUCAUUGGGCGUAAAGCGCGCGUAGGCGGCCCGGAAAGUCGGAUGUGAAAACCUGGGGCUUAACCCUGGGCGUGCAGUGGGUACGGGCAGGCUUGAGUGUGGUAGGGGAGACUGGAAUUCCUGGUGUAGCGGUGAAAUGCGCAGAUAUCAGGAGGAACACCGAUGGCGAAGGCAGGUCUCUGGGCCAUUACUGACGCUGAGGAGCGAAAGUGUGGGGAGCGAACAGG
rnacentral:rRNA from 1 species